rnacentral:lncRNA from 1 species
GGAAAUCCUCAGGGACUGUUAGGAAUUAGUUACUUGUACUAAUAACCAUUUUAAAAAUUUAUUAGGAAGCUGAUAUCCUUUUUUGUUCUCCCAAAAUUGGUGUGAAAAUUUAACCAAAUCCAAUAAAAAUCCCAGGAGAAUUUUUGUGUAAAUAGCAGCAUGGUGAUUCCAAGUAUUAUACCAAAAGGCCUAACUUAACUGAUUUUUAUGUCUGUAAUUUAAUUUAAAAAAUCCUAAAAUAAGUAAAUAAAUGCUAGUCCAAGAACAUGAAGCUACCAUUUUUCCUUGCUGCUCUGAGGUCUCAUGUGAGAGUGACAUUACCAUUUACUGUGUUCUUCCUUGAUAAUUACCUGGAGUCACUUGAUUAUUUGGAUGAUCUAGGCAGUCUAGUUCUCUGCCUCCAUCAUUAUAGUCUGGAUUAUCAUCUUUAAAGAUUAGAGAUGAGAUGAAGAGAGGUCAAGCCACUCCUAGCUGAGAGUACCAGAUGUGUGACCAAGGCUCACUGGGACAAUCCAGCCCCACUCAAGCCACUGGUUACUUCAAAUCAUAUAAGUGACAUCAAGUGAAAGUAGAACUGCCCAACUGAAUCAAAUCCGAAUUUGUGACCCAUAGAUCAUGAUAAAAUAAAAUGCUUGUUGAAAAUAACCAUUACGUUUUUGGGGCAGCUUGUUAUACAGCAUUAGAUAACUGAUACAAUAUAAUCCAC